GGGGUUGUGGCUCAGAGGUAGAGUGCUCACCUAGCACGUGUGAGGCACCAGGUUCAAUCCUCAGCACCA
rnacentral:tRNA from 1 species